GCAAUAUGUCAACUACUCAAUAAUGUAUCCUACUCCAACCUUCAAUUAACCUUUUUAUUCUUAAGCAUUUAGCUUGGUCCAGUGUCCUCUGGCAUUUCUUAUGCAGUAGCUCAAUAUUUUCUACCACUCUGAUAAAUCAUUCAAGAGGAGAAGGCAAAAUAUGCUCAAAGGAGUGGUAUCCUUCACACAGCAACAGGAUGAAAUUAAAAUUCCACAGGUGUUGCUUGAGAAUGUAUUUUCCUCUGUAUCUGGUUUCUCUCUGGAUAAAUGUCACCAGGAUCUGGCUGUCACCCUAGAACUGAUAAUUUCUGCUAGAAGUCUGUGCAGAGGGAAGCUGAAGUGUGGACAUAACAUCACUAAAACACAGAAGGCCUACCCAGGAAAAGAGCCCAGA
rnacentral:lncRNA from 1 species